CAAGCCUGCUAAGACCAUAUUAGCAGAGAAAGAAAUAGAGACUGACGAUUCAAACUAUGAAGCUUCUGAGGAUGAGGAUGAAAGUGACUCAGACCUAGAAGAUAAUCUCCUUGAAGAUAGUGAUUCGGAUCUCAACUCAUGACACUCGGAGGACUCAGGCCUGGAACUGGACUCUGAUGAGGAAUCACCAACCGUAUAUCCUCAGUAUAAUGACAAGACAAAGUUCGGGGACCUCAAAUUUGAGUUUAAGUUGGUGUAAUCCCGAUGCCAGAGGUCCUCCUCAAUUUGAGAG